GACGAAGGGGGGCUAGCGUUGCUCGGAAUCACUGGGCGUAAAGCGCACGUAGGCGGACUCUUAAGUCGGUGGUGAAAUCCUGGAGCUCAACUCCAGAACUGCCUUCGAUACUGAGAGUCGUCGAGUCCGGGAGAGGUGAGUGGAACUGCGAGUGUAAGAGGUGAAAUUCGUAGAUAAUUCGCAAGAACACCAGUGGCGAAGGCGGCUCACUGGCC
rnacentral:rRNA from 1 species